rnacentral:rRNA from 1 species
UUGAACGCUGGCGGCAGGCCUAACACAUGCAAGUCGCACGGUAACAGGAAGCAGCUUGCUGCUUCGCUGACGAGUGGCGGCCGGGUGAGUAAUGUCUGGGAAGCUGCCUGAUGGAGGGGGAUAACUACUGGAAACGGUAGCUAAUACCGCAUAAUGUCGCAAGACCAAAGAGGGGGACCUUCGGGCCUCUUGCCAUCGGAUGUGCCCAGAUGGGAUAGCUUGUUGGUGGGGUAACGGCUCACCAAGGCGACGAUCCCUAGCUGGUCUGAGAGGAUGACCAGCCACACUGGGACUGAGACACGGUCCAGACUCCUACGGGAGGCAGCAGUGGGGAAUAUUGCACAAUGGGCGCAAGCCUGAUGCAGCCAUGCCGCGUGUAUGAAGAAGGCCUUCGGGUUGUAAAGUACUUUCAGCGGGGAGGAAGGGAGUAAAGUUAAUACCUUUGCUCAUUGACGUUACCCGCAGAAGAAGCACCGGCUAACUCCGUG